rnacentral:rRNA from 1 species
GACGAACGCUGGCGGCGCGCCUAACACAUGCAAGUCGAACGGAGAUAAGGAGGAGCUUGCUCCACCUUAUCUGAGUGGCGGACGGGUGAGUAACGCGUGAGUAACCUGCCUUAAAGAGGGGGAUAACGUCUGGAAACGGACGCUAAUACCGCAUGACAUACGGACAUGGCAUCAUGAUCGUAUCAAAGGAGCAAUCCGCUUUAAGAUGGACUCGCGUCUGAUUAGUUAGUUGGUAAGGUAACGGCCUACCAAGACGAUGAUCAGUAGCCGGACUGAGAGGUUGAACGGCCACAUUGGGACUGAGAUACGGCCCAG